rnacentral:rRNA from 1 species
AUUGAACGCUGGCGGCAGGCCUAACACAUGCAAGUCGAACGGUAGCACAGAGAGCUUGCUCUCGGGUGACGAGUGGCGGACGGGUGAGUAAUGUCUGGGAAACUGCCUGAUGGAGGGGGAUAACUACUGGAAACGGUAGCUAAUACCGCAUAACGUCGCAAGACCAAAGAGGGGGACCUUCGGGCCUCUUGCCAUCAGAUGUGCCCAGAUGGGAUUAGCUAGUAGGUGGGGUAACGGCUCACCUAGGCGACGAUCCCUAGCUGGUCUGAGAGGAUGACCGGCCACACUGGAACUGAGCCACGGUCCAGACUCCUACGGGAGGCAGCAGUGGGGAAUAUUGCACAAUGGGCGCAAGCCUGAUGCAGCCAUGCCGCGUGUAUGAAGAAGGCCUUCGGGUUGUAAAGUACUUUCAGCGGGGAGGAAGGUGUUGUGGUUAAUAACCACAGCAAUUGACGUUACCCGCAGAAGAAGCACCGGCUAACUCCGUGCCAGCCGCCGCGGUAA